UACGUAGGGGGCUAGCGUUGUCCGGAAUAUUGGGCGUAAAGAGCUCGUAGGCGGUUUGUUGCGUCGGCUGUGAAAUCCCGAGGCUCAACCUCGGGUCUGCAGUCGAUACGAGCAAACUAGAGUGUUGCAGGGGAGACUGGAAUUCCUGGUGUAGCGGUGAAAUGCGCAGAUAUCAGGAGGAACACCGGUGGCGAAGGCGGGUCUCUGGGCCGAUACUGACGCUGAGGAGCGAAAGCGUGGGGAGCGAACAGG
rnacentral:rRNA from 1 species